UACGGAGGGUGCAAGCGUUAAUCGGAAUUACUGGGCGUAAAGCGUGCGCAGGCGGUUCCAUAAGACAGAUGUGAAAUCCCCGGGCUCAACCUGGGAACUGCAUUUGUGACUGUGGAGCUAGAGUACGGUAGAGGGGGAUGGAAUUCCGCGUGUAGCAGUGAAAUGCGUAGAUAUGCGGAGGAACACCAAUGGCGAAGGCAAUCCCCUGGACCUGUACUGACGCUCAUGCACGAAAGCGUGGGGAGCAAACAGG
rnacentral:rRNA from 1 species